UACGGAAGGCAGCAGUGGGGAAUAUUGCACAAUGGGCGCAAGCCUGAUGCAGCCAUGCCGCGUGUAUGAAGAAGGCCUUCGGGUUGUAAAGUACUUUCAGUCGUGAGGAAGGUGUUAAGGUUAAUAACCUUAGCAAUUGACGUUAGCGACAGAAGAAGCACCGGCUAACUCCGUGCCAGCAGCCGCGGUAAUACGGAGGGUGCGAGCGUUAAUCGGAAUUACUGGGCGUAAAGGGCACGCAGGCGGUUAAUAAGUUGGAUGUGAAAUCCCCGGGCUUAACCUGGGAAUGGCAUUCAAGACUGGUUAGCUAGAGUCUUGUAGAGGGGGUAGAAUUCCAUGUGUAGCGGUGAAAUGCGUAGAGAUGUGGAGGAAUACCGGUGGCGAAGGCGGCCCCUGGGACAAAGGCUGACGCUCAUGUGCGAAAGCGUGGGGAGCAAACAGGGAUUAGAUACC
rnacentral:rRNA from 1 species